GGUGUAAACCGGUACAAGUCAUGUAGACGAGAUGAUGAUAAAUCCAUCUCGCAAAAGUAAACGGUCAUUUAGACCAAACGGGUCAAAAGGUGAAAAUAUCACCCUUUGACAAUAUCGACUAAUGGUUUGUCGAGUUGUAUGAUUACAGGAAUAAAUAUCGAUUGAAUGUUGACAUCGCUAUUACUUAGCGGCUACUAAGGCAAGGUAUCGAAACGGGUCAAUAUAUUGAUCCGAGCCAGGUUUGUAUAAUGAUUCAACUCGUGAAGAUGGACCUAAUCCGGAUGAAGAUCAAGCGGCGAGCAAGAACCGAACACACGUUAAAUGAAGCUUCCGCGUCAAAUCUUGAUUUGUGUUGA
rnacentral:lncRNA from 1 species